rnacentral:lncRNA from 1 species
AAAGGAAAAGUGAGAAAGGAGAGCACUGGAGUCCAAUUAGAGCACCAAAUGGACAGUAGCUGUCGAGAGGUGGGCAUUUAGAAUGAGGUAGAAACUAAAUCAUUACACUCACUAAGAGCAUACCAAGUCAUGUUGAGAUAUUUGAAGAGAAGAACACGUCAUAUUUAGCAAAUUACUAUGACAACUACUUUUAUCAUUACAGCUUUUUCCUUUUAUUAUGACAACUAUUUAGAUAUGGAAUGCUGAAACUAUCAUGCAAUGACCGAUUAAGCAGGUUGAAUUCAACUUGAAAAAGUGUCUACUCAACAUUUUGACAACACUGCAUUUCUGCUUUUGAGCACCUCCCUACUUUCUUCCUUUCACUAAUUUCUCUUGAAUCCUUUUCUAGAUUUGCCAUGAAGGCAGAGAGUACAGGUUUCUGCAAAGCAAAAUGUGAGGGACAAAUGUAGUAAAAUUAGAGCAACUAGAGCAAAACAUCACAGUGAUUUCUGGUAUCAAAUCGGAGAAGUGGGGAAUCUGCAACCAUCGUAAGUAGAACCAACUGGCUUAAUUAAUAAUUCCAAACUUUGGGCAUUAUGUUCAUCAAUAUUCAUACUUAGCUUGCCCAAAGACCAAAUUUCUUCAAUUCCGUCAGAUUUAGGUGCAGAUUUUGAUUGUCAUUUAUCACUUUGUGAGAGACAAGUAAGCAAUAAAGCUGAUAUCAAAAAGCUUUUAGACAUCGUCUACUUUUAGUACAAAAAAU